UCUGUCAACUUGCAGUUCCUCAGAACUCUCUAGCGCCAGUCCUGCUAAAUGGACAUGGCUGUCCAACGCUGCUCCUGAUUGGUUGGUGUUUCCCGCCUUUCCAGGCUGUGUUUAAUGGAGGAGAGAGGAGAACUGCAUGGACUGAGGCCGUAAAGUGAUAUAAACAAACAAUUCCCACAUAAGCCAGGGGAUCAUCGUGGAAUCCGAAUGUUAAAACCAGUCUGGAUGGGAAUAUCAGGUGGUAUUAAAGUGGCUUCUUAGUUUUGAUGGAUGUCGGAAGGCAGGCAGCAGGACAUUAACACAGGGAGUCAGUAAGGGAGGCUGAGAAUACUGAGCAGAGAAACAGCUCCUGACUGCCGUGCUGUGUCUGAUCUCAGUGAUCUGCAGGUGGAGGCCAGUGUGCAUCAGUGUUUGACUCUAAUUUGAUGACGUCAGUGCUGACUGGCUGCUGCAGAACACCGCCCGGCGUCAGGGGACACGUCUGCUGGCUGAUUCACCCAAUCAGGACGCAGCCAGGUGGGCCACUGGGGAGGGCGGCACAUGGAGCAGCUGUGAGCUGAAGCUGG